rnacentral:rRNA from 1 species
AGUGAACGCUGGCGGUAGGCCUAACACAUGCAAGUCGAACGGCAGCACAGUAAGAGCUUGCUCUUACGGGUGGCGAGUGGCGGACGGGUGAGGAAGACAUCGGAAUCUACUUUUUCGUGGGGGAUAACGUAGGGAAACUUACGCUAAUACCGCAUACGACCUACUGGUGAAAGCAGGGGAUCUUCGGACCUUGUUCGAUUGAAUGAGCCGAUGUCGGAUUAGCUAGUUGGCGGGGUAAAGGCCCACCAAGGCGACGAUCCGUAGCUGGUCUGAGAGGAUGAUCAGCCACACUGGAACUGAGACACGGUCCAGACUCCUACGGGAGGCAGCAGUGGGGAAUAUUGGACAAUGGGCGCAAGCCUGAUCCAGCCAUACCGCGUGGGUGAAGAAGGCCUUCGGGUUGUAAAGCCCUUUUGUUGGGAAAGAAAAGCAGCAGGUUAAUACCCCGCUGUUCUGACGGUACCCAAAGAAUAAGCACCGGCUAACUUCGUG